rnacentral:rRNA from 1 species
UACAGAGGUCCCAACCGUUGUCCGGAAUUAUUGGGCGUAAAGAGCUUGUAGGCGGUUUGUCGCGUCUGCUGUGAAAUUUCGGGGCUCAACCCCGAACUUGCAGUGGGUACGGGCAGACUAGAGUGUGGUAGGGGAGACUGGAAUUCCUGGUGUAGCGGUGAAAUGCGCAGAUAUCAGGAGGAACACCGAUGGCGAAGGCAGGUCUCUGGGCCAUAACUGACGCUGAGAAGCGAAAGCAUGGGGAGCGAAACAGGA